rnacentral:rRNA from 1 species
UACAGAGGAUGCAAGCGUUAUCCGGAAUGAUUGGGCGUAAAGCGUCUGUAGGUGGCUUUUUAAGUCCGCCGUCAAAUCCCAGGGCUCAACUCUGGACAGGCGGUGGAAACUACCAAGCUGGAGUACGGUAGGGGCAGAGGGAAUUUCCGGUGGAGCGGUGAAAUGCACAGAUAUCAGGAGGAACACCGAUGGCGAAGGCAGCUUACUGGGCCGAUACUGACGCUGAGGAGCGAAAGCGUGGGGAGCGAACAGG